rnacentral:tRNA from 1 species
GGAGAGAUGUCCGAGAGGUUUAUGGAGCUGGUCUUGAAAACCAGUGAUGCUGCAAAGCACCGAGGGUUCGAAUCCCUCUCUCUCCGCCA